UACGGAGGGUGCAAGCGUUAUCCGGAUUUACUGGGUUUAAAGGGUGUGUAGGCGGACUUUUAAGUCAGCGGUGAAAUCUCCGGGCUCAACCCGGAAACUGCCAUUGAUACUAUUGGUCUUGAAUAUUGUGGAGGUGGGCGGAACGGGUCAUGUAGCGGUGAAAUGCUUAGAGAUGACCCGGAACACCGAUUGCGAAGGCAGCCCACUACGCAAUGAUUGACGCUGAGGCACGAAAGCGUGGGGAUCAAACAGG
rnacentral:rRNA from 1 species